UAUAUAUAUAUUUAAGUAGAUAGUUAAUAAAAUAUACUUGUAUAACUAUGUUGUCCAAAUUAAAAAUUCUCAGAUUUGGAAGAAUAAAAUUAGAUUCUUGAGAUUUUCUAUUUCUACUCUUAGUCUUUCAAUAGGCUACUCUCCACUGAAAUUGCUUCUCAAAUUCAGGUUCGAUAAAGAAGUUGUCUUGUUGUAUAGUCUCCAUUGGAGCCAAGGUGGAUACCCAAAAUGUUGGGGUUAGGAUCAGGAAUUCUUGAGGAAUAUUAUAUGAAAGCCUUCUAUAUCUUUGGAAUCAGCAUUUAUAGUUUGAACACAGAUCUCAAAAUAUGGAGGUACAACAGGAGUCUUGAUUCUUUAUGUUCUUGCCUCUAUACCAGUACUACAUGAUAGAACAGACAUGAUGUGUGAGUCUGCACUAGUUACUUUUCUCUUUUAUGUGAUAAAGUAUCUAAGGGGAUACAUUCAGGGAGGAAUUAUUUAUUUGUGGUAUCUGAGAGUCCAGUCACCAGUCUUCUGUUUUUGCUUCUGGGACCAUUGUGAAGCAGAACAAUGCUGUGAUUGGUAUGUGUAAGGAGGAGCCUGUGAAGUAGAAAAAUGUGGUGGUAGGUAUGUGCAAGGAGAAGCUGGCUAAUGGCAGACAGGAAGCCUAGAGGAGAGCAUGUAGGAAGAAGCCAGGUCAGAAUAUUGUCCCCAAGACAUGACCUCUGUGAAUUAUUUCCUUCAACUAGGUUCCAAUUCUUCCUUUUCAACACUUACUGAUCAUGUCAUCAUUUGAACGAAUCCAUCAAGGGAUGAGUCCAUUCACUACUCAAGACCAUCAUGAUCUGAUUAUGUCUACCUUCACAGACAUAUUCUGAAGUAUGACUCAUAAUCUCCUAGGUGACUCAUGAUCCAAGCAGACAGCCCAAAUCGGUCAGCACGAGGGCAGAAUGCUCACUCUGUAGAAGGAAGUUUGCAUGGACACUGGUUUGGUUUUGGUUUUGUUAUUUGUUUUUAACUGUGAGUUUUCCAAAAUGGCCCUUAAAAGUAUUGUUGUGCCAACAUGAGACUUGUGGAAAAGUGAGUGGAAAGAUUAACAGUCAGAGGACCAGGAAAUCUGCUGUGUCUCCUAGAAAGUACAAGAACACUUCAUCCAUGCUAUCUCAAUGUGCACUGUGUGAAAAGACUCAAACACAUCAUGCUAAUAUAGAAAGAGGGAAUCUCACAGGGCUACACCUCUAGACAAAGAACCAUAAGUAAUUAAUUAGGAGAAAUAGUCUUUCUGAGGUAUAAAUCUCCUUAUUGAUUAUCCAAUACUAAGUAGUCAGCCAUGAAAUCUCAUACACACAAGUAAUAUUAAAUAUAUUAAGCAGGUGGUAUUUAUAUGUUUAUAAACACACACAUGUAAAAAAUGUUUAUGUGUUUAUAUGUUUAUGGCAGUCAUAAACUUCAGAGGGAGCAAGAUGAGGAAACAUGGGAGGAGUUCAAGGACAGAAUGGGAAGGCAGAGAGUGAUGUGUUGUCUUUAAUUAAAAAAAUUAAAACAUAAAUCUUGUUACUGGUUAUUGUGCUUGUCCCUCAGUGUAAUAGGACUACAGAUCAUAGUGUUCAGUUCUACCUAAAUCUUAGCUGUUCUACUGAUUCAGUUUUGAAAACAACUGUGAUUGACAUGUGCCAGGAAACAUUCAUGAAUCCCCAAAAGAUCACCAAGGGACUGAAUCCGAUGCAAUCAUAUUAGGGUCUCUUUAUUCAAACUUGAGCUUGAGUCACACCACCGUCUCUGAUGCAGGAAAAUGGGAGGGGCAACCCUAAACUUAGUUUCAGGCAAACAUUUAUAGAGACAAGAAAGGGGUAUCUAGCCUGGCACACAUCUAAUUGGGGACUACUAUGCUUUUGACAUAAUUGGCUGGUGCUGGGAGCCAAACCAUAAACUUAACUUCUGCUUUCCUUCUAAUUGGUGGUUGUUAGGAAGUGAAGUGACAGGGGCAGGCUUGUAACCUAGGGGUACAGAUUUGUUGGAGAAUAACCUGAAAAUGUGCUAGACACAGGUCUUGUUGGGGGAUAACCUGGAAACUGGUGCUAGACACAGGUUUUGUUGGAGAUAGCCUGGAAACUGGUGCUAGGUACCGGCCUGAUAGUUAAGUUAACCUUAGAUCAGGUUUUCUAAGAUGGAUUCUGAACCCAAAAGAUUUGGUCUCUCAAACACAGGCCUUCCUCACCAUGAUAGUUGUUUUCCUCACCUGAAUAAUGGUGAUAAUAACCUUAUGUCAAGUAUAGGGGCUUUGAGAUGAAAUGAGUUCCAUAGUCUUUUCCACCAGCUUUUAUGGAUCUUUUUGAGGCUGGAUCACUUUUUAGGCAAACAGUGACAUAUUACACUGUCAUCUUAUAGACUUCUUAAUGAUGCUAUCAUUUUCAAGAGUUUUUCCCUCCAUAUUUACUUAGAAUUAAAGUGUCACUGUAGUUUCACAUGUUGAUUAAUUUUCUUUUCAUUUUACUUUUUAUAUGUAAAUGUAGCCUCCCUUUACUGUUAUUAUUUUUAUGAAUAUUUUUUGGUUUGUGAUACAGGGUGUUGGUGCACAGUCUAGGCUUCCCUCAAAGUCAUGACCUUUGGUCUCUGUCUCUUUCAUGCAGGAAUUACAGGUGAACAGCUUACCCACGAAAGUCACCAACGUAUAGUAAGACAUCUGGUUAAGUUAGAACAAAGAGAUGGUUACAUUUCUAUGAUUUUGAUGAGCUGUCUCGACGUAGUAUAGUUAUUACUUGUAAUCUCCCACAGAUUAUUUUAUUUUAGGACUAAACUUCCUUUUAUUCUGAAAUCAUGGUAUUUACGUGGUGCUAGGAUCCCUGAAGAAGAUAUAGUACUAUUUGGGAUUCCCUACACUUUAGGGUUUCUAAAUGAUGAUUCAUCAUAAUGAUAAUUUUUGUGAAGGGAACAUUCAGAUUCUCUUUCACUGAAGCAGAUUUCAAUUGCCCUAAAUCACCAUUCUGUUUUUCACAGGCCCCUACUAAUUUUCAUUUAUGACUCCCAUGACUUCAUUGGCACGGGUUAGCUUUCCAAGAUAUGGUCAUUGACUUGUCUUUCAAAAAUAUAUCCUGAGACAUUUGAAUCCUAAGUUUCUUUUUCUGGGUUUGGCAACCACUGUGACUUUAGGAGGAACCCAAUCAUAUUUUUCUUGUUUAUAGUGGUAAGACCCACCUUUUGAUUCUUUCUUGAAAUGUGUUUUGAUAACCUCAAUAUUGCUGUCAUGUGAUUUUGGCCCACGCUUCAUUUCUUCUUCAUCAGCAGAGGUUUUGUCAGGUUCUGCUAUGUCCUUGGAAUGUGAAAUGUCCCCUCAGGGUCAUGUGUUUGAACACUUGGUCAUGAACUGGUGGGAUUGAUUUGGGAAGUUGGGGAACCUUUGUGAACUGGAGCACAGCUAGAGAAAGUGAGUCACUGUGGCACAGGCUUUCAGGUUUAUAUCUCAACCUUGGAUCCAGGAGGAUUUCUGUUUCCCGUUCUGCCAAGAUAUGAGGCAACAAUGACCUCAAGCUUCCCACCUCCUGCUGCAAUGACUUCCCCAUCAUGCUGGACCACAUCCUUUCAAACCUCAUGAAUGAAACAAAUCCUUACUCCAUUAAGUUACUUCUUGUCUGUUAUUUGGUCACAACAGUGAGUUAAGUAACUUACUUAUACAGGCUAUUUUGAAAGAUCACUGAGUGUAUGGAGAAGCAUGCUCUUUUUUUUUAGUUUCCCAUAUGAAGCAUCUCAAGAUGUAAAACAGAAAGUCCAACUCUCUUCCUUUAAUAUUAUGCACAGUGAUCACUCUCCCUUCUGGUAUGUUUCUUCAAUUCUGAAGUCACACUUUUCAAGUGACAGAGUUCACAAAACUGAUAGCCAUGCUGAGGCGUGUUUCUGCACAGUUUAGCACUUUGAAUCUCUGAAGCUGCUCUUGUUUCCCUAGAUUAAAUUCUGAUUAAAUUCUGUCCGUGUUGGAGGUAUGAGUAUGCUGUGACAGAUGGAUAUGAGCUGGGACUGGAGCUUGGGCAGAUGUGUCUGUACUCACCAGGAGACUGUCACCACACAGGUCCCAGUGAUGCAUCCUUUGCUGUGGCAGGACUGUUCCUGACAGCUCUCUUCAGUAAGGACAGUGUGCCUCCUCUCUCUUUCAGUGUUCUACUAAAGGUAGCCUCAUGCUUCUUAUGAGGAAGCAACAAACUGAUGUGAUGUAUCUAUCUUUCUGAACUUUCUAGACAACUGUGGAUGAAUUAGGUCCUUGUAGGGAGUUUACCUUUCCCUUCUAUGGGUAGACAUCUUUCUCUAAUAUAUUCAUUGAAUUGCCUACUAGAUAAUGUCAAUCUGUAUCCACCACUCAGAAUCUUCCUUUCUAACUAAACAAUAUCUGUCAACAUUAAAACUGAACAACACUGAAAGCCAAGAUAACACAUGAAUACAUUUGAACGCACACACACACACACGCACACACACACGCACACACGUACGCACGCACGCAUGCACGCACGCACACACACAUGCACAUGCAUACACACACACACAGACACAGACACAUAGACACACAGACACAUACACCUUAAAUAAAGUUGCCAUUAGUCUUUAGAUUUUGAUAUAGUAAGUAUUUUCAUGGUUUGUAGGAUUUUAAGGUUAAAGGGAGAAAAGUUCUGGACUUUGCAUCAAGGAUUAGAGGAAAUAAGAUAGAAUGAAGUGAUGAAUUCUGUUAAGAGUGAAAAGACUGUGACUCCAGACUUCAAGCACGGCCAUGGGCGAGCAAUUUCAUUUCCUUGAGUGUUGCACGUGCAUGAAGCAGCUCUGAUUUCUCAAGGUUGAAAAUGAAAAGCCAGUCAAGUAGCUGGAGUUCCAUUUCCUUGAGAGGAAAUUAGGUAAGAUGGCAAUCACAGCGGAGAGGAUUUUGCAUAUUUGGAAGGAACACAGGAAAGGUUACAUUCUUCAUUAGUAUUAGUCACCACAACAAAAGAUGGUGAACUGGAAGGGAUUCAACACUAUAACCUGACAGCACCUUGAAUGUGAAGACACGAAGAAGGUUCUGAAGGCUCACACUUAUGUGUUUCAGCCUGUUUUAUUUUCGGGCCCAACACUUUUUGCUCUCAUGUGAAUUAAGCCACAUCUUCUUGCCCUUAAAGUACCACUGUAUCUAGGGCUUCUGCUCUGAUGCCCAUCUUAACUUGUAGUUUCUCUUUUGACUUGUCUGAGGCAUAAUUCAAACAUUCGCAUCAACAGCUCCAGCCAACUUCAUUUUUAUGGUUCUGUUUUGUGAAGCGCACUAAGAUUCCCUCCCCUCCCCACAUUUCAACAGAUUUAAAACAUGACGAAGAGUUUGGAGGACAGUGAUAAUCUAUGGACCCAUACAGAUCUGUCAAGAGGAAGCAGUUGCUCCUGUGCUGACAAUGAGGACAUGGACUGUAUCCUCCCAUCUCUGAGCAGUGUCAAUGGCAACUUGACAGUUAUCGAAAGGCUUCAGCCUUGUACUUGGCUGUGUUUAUGUUCAGCCAUCUUAAAACCUGGGCAUUUAUAGCACAUUUCAAUAGCAGCAGCUCUAAGAAUGCGAUAGUAACUGUUUAACCUGGCAGAGCCUUGGGUACGCCUGGUGUGAUAUUGCAAAUGGCACCUUCAACGUCAUAUAGAGCUAAUUAAAGACUAGGUGAUACUUGGGAUUCUUACAGGAACAAACAUGAGAAUCCUAGAGUUUAUAAUUUCAGAAUAAUCAGUAGGGUGUAUAAUUCACCGUCAAUUUAUAGUACCCUGUGCCCUAGUUUUCUUUCUCCUUUCCUAGUUUUAGGAAAGAAUUUUCAAAGAAAAUCUUUUGCUUAUUGCUGACACCAUAAAUUCAUGUAUGCCUAUAAACAUAAAAAAAUGUACUUCAAGAAGAGGUUGGGAUUAUCUUAAAAAUGGGUGCUAUGUGAAGAAACACAAGAUACAUGAGGUUAAAGGUACAGUGUGAGAGAAAACCAGACUGGUGGUAAAGGCAGACACACUAGGAGAUAUAUGUAAAGAAUAUAUGAGAGACAAAGUGUAUCAACCUGUGGGAGGAAGAAAAGGAAGCUUUCACAGAGGAAGUGGCAUUUGUUACAGAGCUAGCUUGAAAGAUACAUAUGUGCUUGCCAGACUGACAGAAUUCUCAGUAUGUUAAAACAUGCGAGUCCCGAUAUUGAACCCUGCUGGGAAAGUAUAAGAAAGGCUGUGUGACUUGGAGGGUAGAAGCAGCUUAAGAGUUUUAAAUUCCACUUGUUUUCUCCAGUUGUGUUUGAUGGUUAUAAGACAGAUAAUACAAUCAGAAAACCCACUUUGAAAUAGGGAACGUAUUAGACAGUCUUUCUUUUCGGAGAAGACAUUAGUGAAAUAUUAUUUAUCAAGCAUACAAGAGGAGGGCUGAGGUGACAAGUUAGUGGGUAAAUGCUUGCCUUGCAAGUAUGAGGUCCUGAUUUUGAUUUCUCAGAUCUCAGGCUAAAGCAGACAGACAGACAGACAAACAAAAUUAGCAAAACCAGAAAACAGCUAAGUUCGGUGGCAUAUACUUGAAAUACCAGCACUGGGCAAGUGCAGACACAAGGAACUCUAGGGCUUGCUGGUCUACCUUACUUGGCAAGUCCCAAGCCAGUGGACAAUUUAUAAGUCCUCCUAAGUGUUCAAAUGAAGGGGAGAGUGGCACACAUGUUACUUUAAAUCAAAAGUAUAAAUGGUAGAGUGAAGAAGAUAAACUAAAAGCUGAGAUAAGCUGAAAGCUAGGUUCUUGUAAGAAUCAUGUCUACUGUUUGAGCUCACACACACACAAAAUGUUCCAGGAAGCAAGACAGGGGCAAAGGGGAAAUAAAACAGCCUCAUCGCUGACACGAAUGAUACAGUGGUCUGCAUUUGAAGGCCAGACGAAUCCAGUAUUGUCUUAAGGUAAUUUUUUGGGUUGUUGUUGAAAAUAGAUUUUUUUCAUAUUAUAUAUUCUGUUCAUGAUUUUUACCUCCGCUGACUGAUUCUCCCAGCCUUCCCACCCAUCCUAAUUAACACCCUUACUAAAUAGAAAACAAGAAGGCAACUAAAAAGUAAUACAAAACAAAACCCACAGAUAAACCAGAAUAGUAUAAAAUAAGCAAACAAAAAUAAGAGACAAAGAUAAAGCUAAAGAAAUACAUACAGCUGUGAAGACAUGGGUUUAUGCAUGUGUGUGGGUCUGCACAUGUCACAGUAUGUGGAGGUCAGCAAGUCGCCCCAUGUGCCAUAUACUAACAGCUGUGAGGAUAUGAGGACAAUAUAGUUGUAUGGAAAUUUCCAGUGGAGUAUAGCUCUUUUACUGUUUUGGAGUUGAAAGCCCCUUCAGCUCUUUCAAUCCUUUCUCUAAUUCCUCCAACAGGGGUCCUGUUCUCAGUUCAGUGGUUUGCUGUUAACAUUCACCUCUGUGUUUGACAUGCUCUGGCUGUAUCUCUCAGGAGACAUCUAUAUUUAGAUUAGAUUUGUUGGAAACUUCUCUUUCUGGAGAGGUCUGUAUAGGUAUUGUUUAGUGUAGAAUAUCAGUUGUGCAAUACAAGGUCAACUUCAUAUUGACAGUGCACUUGGAUGCUUAUAUAACUCAGGGGUGGGAUAAUGGCAACAGUAUAUACAUAGGACAUACUGUUUAAGAUGCAUUUAUUUUAAGUUGUGCAUGUUUGUGUAAAGAAUGUCAAUGUCUGCAGAAGCCAGAAGAUGAUGUUACUUUCUGUUUUGCAUGUCUGGAGUUAAGGGUUGGUUGAGUCGUUCACUGUAGGGUGCUGGGAACCAAACUGGGUCUUCUGCAAGAACAGUAUGUACUCUUAACUGCUGAGCCAUCCUUUGAGCUCCUGUAGUUGAUAAUAUUUAGACUUCUUGCUCUAAGCAUUCAUUUGACAACCAUACAAUCAUUUAGGCUAGGUAUGAUAAAAGUCAUUUUUUUUCUUUUCUUUCUUUCUUUUCUUUCUUUCUUUCUUUCUUUCUUCUUUUUUUUUUGCUUUACACAUUUCAUGAAGCUAUACUUGACAAGUGAAAAAUUAUAAUUACAUAGAUUUUUAUAAAAUUUGUAAUCUGCUUUUUAUAUAUGUAUAGCUCAUGAAACAAACUAAGAUAACUACCAUGUUUAUUAUUUCCUAUAAUAUUAAUUCCUAUAAUAUACUUGGUAUGGGGUAAGGGCAUCUAUAAUCUUCUCUCUGAAUUUUCAUGUAUAUAAUACACUAUUAUUAACAAUGGCCACAUUGAAUAGAGAUGACAAGUGUAUACCUCUGUCUAAAUGAAACUUUUUUUCCCCUCAUUCUCCAUUUCCCCUAUCUCACAGCACCCCUGGUACUCAUCGCCUGCAUAUUAUUUCCAAGUUUAGCUUUUUAAUAGUCUAAAUAGUAGCAAAAUUAUGUUUAUUUUAAAAAAUAUGUUUUUCUCUUUCCUUAUGUAAUUCAGGCUAGUCUGAAACCUAUAGUCAUCCUGCCUUAGCCUCCUGAGACCUGGGUUUGUAGGCACGCAUCAUUACUACAAAGAGAGUUUUAUCAGUACACAGCUGUGGCAGUUUGGCUGCGACAGUUUUCAAACUACAGUGACAAUUGAAUACUUGUGACCACAUUUUCCAGAAAGUCAAAAAUAGGAACCCUCUGGAUUUAGAAGAACAAACUUACUGACCCCUGUUGGCAGCACAUCAACAUUUGAGAAUACUGAGACUCUCCCUCAGUAGAAUAUUUCAGGGUGAAUGCUGCUUUGAUAAUUCUGCCUUUAGAUCAUAUCUAAAAAUAGGUUAAGCUCUUCUGGGUGAGGAGAUUAAGAAUAGGACAUUCAUGUUAUUCAUUUUCUUUGGCCAGGAAGCUCCUCCCAUGUUCUUGAAGACCCUCCUUCCUCCUCUCAUUUGGCUCCCCUUUUCUAUCAGCAUCUUUAUGGGGAUGCAUUCUGUAUGCUGCACUGUGUAAAUUAGUCCACUGGUUCACAUGAACAUGCUUGCCUGCUCCAUAUUUCCCACCUCUGUGCUCAGUUUAAGACUUAGAUGGCAGACUUUCUCUGUGUUCAUCCCAUUACAUGUCUGUUUGGCUAGUUUCCUUAAAAUAGCACUUUCACUGUCAUCAUCAGAAACCCCCAGACAACAGAGCAUUGUAGUGAAAAUGGUGGCACCAUUGAACAAACCCAAGUCUCGAUUCCUUAGCACUUGAUUACCCAGGUUAGUGUGAAGAUACUCAGUUCUGUAAACUUCCCAGAUGUCCGUUAAUUCCGUUGUACAAGAGGGAAGACCAUUACCCAAAUUCCUUGGUCAGACUAACCAAGCUCUAUUUUCUGUCAGACAGAGCUAUCUCUCUAAAAUGGGCUUGUGAGUAUAGGAUAUAACACAGGAGAAGAGAGGGGAAAACUACAAGGUUAGGGAGUUUCCAAGGGCCGAGAGAUUUCCGGGAGGAUUGUGAUUUUUGUAGGAGCUUGACGGACAUUUCAAAAUUAUUUGGCAGAACAUCUCAUCAGGAUGGGAAGCAUGUCGAACAGGUUAAAGCAUGGUCAACUUGAACUUUGAAGGAAACAGAAAUGACCUUGUUUUGACCUUGUAACAAAAUGGCUUGCAUCGUUAACAUGGAGUAAGGCUGGUCCAUCGAUGUCUUCAUAGCAGAAAGCAAAAGAAAAUGAACGUUGAAUGUAUAUACGCAGAAGAUACUUCUGCUUUUCUGAAAGAAACUGACUUUUAAAUACUCUACUUAUCCAAGUAUUUUUUAAAAGCUGCUUUUUUAAAAAGAAUUUUUCAUUGAAAAAUAUUUUCCAUAUAGUAUAUUCCAUGCACACUUUCUCCUCUCGUAUCUCCUCCAAAAUCACUGCCCCUCACUUCCCCUUACCCAACUCUAUACCUUCUUCCUCUCUUUCUUUAGAAAACAAAUAGGCAAAUUGAAAAAAGACAAAAGGCCCCUAAACAUAGACAUGUAUUCAGACAGACAGACAGACAUAAACCCCCAAAACAAAGCCCAUAAAACACAAAACAGAAACUCCAAUAGAAAAGUAAUGUUAAAAAGUGCAGAAGCAACUGAAGCCACUUCUUCAUAAAGCCACCUGAAGGACCUUUUACAAAACUUAUAAAGCUGGGGAAAUUUGUUGUCUGUCAGUAUUAGUCCAAGAAGAACAGCGCAGACAUUUUCAGAAUCUGUCUUAAGAAGAAGCCAGGAGUUAAUAAACAAUCUGGAGAACCGAGCAGGUCCAAGUUUUCUGUCUUAAUUAUAGCAUUACGAGUGUGCACUGUAACACUUACAUUACCUUGAUGAAUAUUUUCUCGAGGAGUCCAUAAUGUACAUUUAACAGUAAGCAGAUUGCUAUCACCAACAGUGUCAUUUCUCCUUAGAAACGUAACACAGUUUUGUGAGGAAACGGAUCGAUACAAACACCACACAGCAUCUACGCAUUUUCUGUAGCAUGUGUUUUAAAUGCAUUUCUUUAUGGUGUUUCGAAGACACAGCAGAAAGGAAAGCAGCGAAGGUGCUCAGCUCUGUCAAUGUUCGGUGUGUCUGGUCUUCUGUAGAUGGCAGCCAAACUACAGAGAUUCACAAUGUGUUCUUGGAUGCCACACUGAGCAAGCUCAGCUUCCACGGUGGUUGAUUGCUUGUCACUGUCUUCAAAUAAUGAUGAUGGGAAUAUUGAACUCAGGGAAGCGACAGAGCUGCGAUCCAAUGGAAGGGACUAGAGCAAACGAUGCUCGUCAUAUGGCUGCCCACUGGGACAAGUAGGCAAAGGACGUGCAGGGCCUAGGGAAGGUAACAGAACAUCAGAUUCAAGGACAAAAAUAUGAUGUCAUCCGAUGUUGACAGCUAUCACAAGGUUGUGUUUUUAGCUCAGACUUAGAAACCUGGGCCAGUUCAUAUUUGAAGAGGAAUAGAUAUUUGGUAGCAUGUGAACACAGAUUUUGUAUGAGGAAAAAUAUGCAAGCACUAGGAUUCUUUAUGAAAAGCAUCUGAAUGCCCCUAAAAUACAAUUAAAAGUAAAAUCUCACUAAUGUAUCAGUUUCAGAAAACCCCAGUGCAAUGCCAGAUUACACGCAAUCUGGGAUUCCUGCUCUUUAACUAAAAAAUGAUCAUGCUUUAAGAUAAGAAUGUUUGUCUUUUCUGGACCUGGCCAAGCAGGAGACACCAUCAUGGCUGUUGACAUUCGCCACAAGGACCUAAAGGUUCUGUUCAAGGAACCCAAGAGCCAGGACAUCGACAUACAAGCUGUACAGGUUUCUGGCCAGACGGACCAACUCCACUUACAGUAAGAUCCUCAUGGAUUACUUGACCAACUGAGCCAUUGUCCCAGACUCUAAGGAUCCAGUUUGAAAUGACAUAGACUGUGACAACUACUGGCACUGCUGAAUACACAUGAGAAAGUGUUACUUGGUAAUUUGGAUAAUAGCAGGUAAGAAUUGCAGGAGAAAAGGUGAGAGGGGCAAAUGGUGCUGAGAAUAAAAGGAAGUGUGGGUAAUUGGGGAGUACGAGCAUAACUGUGUGUGUGUAAGAAUGUCUCUUGCUGGGUGGCCUCAUGAGAUAUUUAAGUCAGAACAGCCUGGGGAAGGGAGAGAUUAAGGUGUAGGGAGAAGGUACUCAUGUGGUUUGAAGCAAAAUUGCAGUCUUACUGUAUCUCUCUUUGAAUUUGCAUCAUGGGCAGGAGAGCAGCAGUUCACAGCACUUCAUCCAAGAGCUUAUUUAAGGAGGAUACCUGGAAGAUCUAGAGAGAAAUGGGAAAUUAUUGCAUAAAGAGGACAUUUUGGUUGAUGGAUGUAAUUAGAUAUAAUUUUUAAAAGAAAAAUUAAAAUUACUAAUAAGACUUGUAAUUGAUUAAAGUUGAUGUAGAGUUAUGAACCUUCUUGCUUCCUUCUCAGUGGUUGAAGGAUAGAAAAUUCUAAAAAUGCAAAUGCACUUAAAUUAGAUUGAAACAUAUAUAGUCAACGUCUUCUAUAGCAAAGCCAUUGGAAAAAAAAGAUAUGGCAUGUAAUCAAAAAGUAUACACCUAAUAUAAAUUUUAAAAAUCAGUUUUCCUCCCAUGUCCUGACAAAUUACUAAGACCAAUCUUCAGCCAAAGUAAAAUUAGAAAUGAUCUCAGAAUAAAGCACCUACUGGUUAUUUAAGAAAGGUGCCUCAUUGGUGAGUCCUUUUAAAACUGAACCAUUUCCCCAGCGUGUGAAUGAACUACUUCAACAAGGAAGCCAAGUCAAUGAAAAACAGCAGUGAGCGGCGCAGUCAGAGAAGUUACAAGACAAGAAAGAAAUUAAGCACGGAAUAAGUCAGGAAUCAUGAAAAAUUCACUUGCUGGAUGACAAAUUGUUUGAAAAAUGUUCUGACUUUCAGAUUUAUUUUCAGUUUGGGCAAGUUAUUUUUGUUUUAUAAAGAAGAGUUGUUUAUUAGCUAGAAACACAGUAGUCAGAAAUUAAGUAGGAAUGUAUUGUAAAAGUUGUCUUAGAAUGAUGUGAUAAUCUAUAAUUUUAUAAACUGUCCAAAAGUUUUGAGUAACACGAAACAGCUUCAAACUUUGCUAAAGGUCUUGUGUAUUUUGCUAUUUCUCUCUCUAGAGCAACUUACUCUUGAGUUUCAUGAUUUAACUCAGGUUACUUUGACCAUGAUUUUGCCACCUGAGUCUUAGGACAAAAAGUUAUACCUGGUUGGCGGGGUGGUAAUGUCCCCCAAACCUAGGCUUGGUCACAUUCCUUUCCCCAAAGACAGAGAAGUUGGUAAUAAAGAGAGAAAAAGAAAUUUGAUUUCUGAGUAGCCACACCUUGGAGGGCAAAUGUUGUUCUGGGGGUGCUUGAGUUGACACUGGGGGAGAAAAACAGGAACAGAGGAGAGGUAUCCAUGGCGCACAUAGGGUCACAUUGGUGCGGAGAAGUUGCUAUGGCUCUGGGGAGUGGACAGUCACAGAUCCUUAGUCAUCAAUCUCGUGAUCCUGGACCACAGGGUGAACUCCAUUAGCCUUAGAGGAUGCUUAUAAUCUCUCAGAUCUGAGUUCUGGGAAUUUAAUAUGAACUGAGGGGAAGAACUACUCAGAAAAGCACAGGUCAGGGAGAGACAAGCUGGAAUCAGUUAGGAUAAGAAGUUCGUCUUCCUUCCAUUUUGGGGUGAAUCAUUUAGAUAGCGCCAGGCAAAGUGAUUAUCUCUGAUCAAGUUGGCAGCAGUGGGCCUUAGGAUAUAACUCAAAAAUGGUCUUCCCCUCACAUUUCUGGUGCCUUAUUGUGUCUAGUCUCUCUUACUAUUCAUACGUCAUCUCCAGGGACUCCAUGUUGCCUGGUAACCUUAUUUACUAUGUUCUUAGGACAGCGUUAGGAUAGUAGCUCGGGUGUUCAGAGGAUUGAGACACAAAGUUCUCUUAGAGCCUAAACCUGGAACUGGAGCCCAUAGUUCCCCAUUAUUCCUGUCAGCCAAAAAUCACAAGUCUCAAGAGAGGGGGAAAUAGAUCCCUCAUCUCCAUGGAAAUAAAGGUAGAGUCUCUGAGCUUUCUUUAGACAUACUGGAUUUUAACUUUCUCAGUUCACAGAGCCUUCUGAGAAUCUCACAGGAAAACUCACUCUCAAUGCAUUUUGUAUGCAAACAAUUAUCCUAACUAUCUAAAUAGAGCUGUUUGACAAGGAGACUUUUAGAGAGUACCAUCAUCUGUUGUGAGCAAGCUACACCAGAAACAUAGACAAACAUGCUUGUAUCUUUUCACAAUGUCACAACUCAUUGACAAGUAAAUUUACAAAUUACCUUACUUUUAUUGACUGCUAUUUAUCAGGAAGCCCCAGUUUCCCCACAUAGCUAGCCAAUGACAAGCAUAAGUUCUCCUAUUCUAAUUUUAGUUAUAUUCAGUCUUAGAUCACAAACUGUGUGUGUGUGUGUGUGUGUGUGUGUGUGUUGUCUAGUUUGAUUUUCUAUUGUUAUGAUCGAUACCACAACUAAAGUAAGUUAGUUGGUUUUUUUAACUUACUUUUUUUACUUACUUUGAAAAAAAAUUAUUUUAUUUUACUGGCUGCAGAGUGUUACUGAGGGAAAGAGCCAAGGCUGGGACCUAAGGCAGGAGCCUGAAGCAGAAACCAUGGAAGAAUGCUAUUCUGUGGGUUGCUUCUAGGCUCAUAGUCAGCUGAUUUCUUAUUCAUUCCAAGUCUACGUGCCUAGGAAUGCUACUACUACCCACUGUUGGCUGGGCUGUACCAUCUCCUUAGCAAUCAAGACAGUGUCCUAUAGACAUGCAUGUAAGCCAAUCUAAUGGAGGAAAUUCUUUCAUUGAGGUUUCCUCUUCCAUGGUCUGUCAGUUGACAACCAAAAUGAACCAUACAUAAGGAUGUUAUCUCUAUAUAUUCCUAUAUACAUAUUCAUAUUUAUAUGUUAUACACACACACACAGACACACACACACACACACACACACACACACACACACACACACACACAUGGCUACAAAAAAAGGUUAAUGUACCCACAGAGCAUAAAGCAGCCUUACUGGAGGCAGAGAAGGGAGCCGUUAGAGAUUCAAAGAAUCACUUCAGGUGUUUCGUUAUUAUCUUAGGUGGAGAGCUACUGGAAAGAGGAGAGCCCUGACACAGGGUUGAAGGUGCAGCCAAGCUCCACUUGUGAGGCACAGGGUGGAACCCAACAUAAGAUGGUAGGACCCUUGACAUACAAGAGGUACAUGGACACAAAGGUGGCAGUGCGAGUGGACCAGGACUUGAGCCUGAAAUGAUUGAUCUUCCUCUCUGUCCAGUGAUGUGUAUUCUGCAGACUGGCAUCAUGCAUCCAAAAGAGGCGAAUGCUAGCAGCAAGCCAUUGAACUGAGAACAGGAUCCCCACUGGAGGAAUUGGAGAAAGGAUUGAAGGAGCUGAAGGGUUUACAACCCCAUAAGAACAACAAUGCCAACCAACCAGAGCUUCCAGGGACUAAACCACUACCCAGAGACUACACAUGGACUGACCCAUAGAUCCAACUGCAUAUGUAGCAGAGAAUGGCUAUGUUGGGCACCAAUGGAAGGAGAAGCCCUUGGUCCUUGGUUGGACCCUCCAGUAUAAGGGAAUGGGGG
ensembl:lncRNA